AUGUAUCUAAUACACAAAGCGUCCUUCUUAACGUACCUAAAUAAAUAAAUGGAUUUAGAAUCGUAAGAGUGGGGGUAAACACAGACGCCGAACAGUCUCGUCCUAUUGUCAUUGAUUAUCCAUCAUCCUUCGAAGUUAGACGUGUUUGAGCCUUCGUUGCCGUUUAAAUCUCGCAACGCACCCGACAUAAAUGUCCCAUCGAUAAGACACAGUAGGAAGUUUCCGAUAACAAUACAGUAAUCAAUCCUACGAGCGAGGAACACAUCGAAUGCUAUAAUUAAUACAUUUCACGUUAAUUAUGGUAUUGAACCUGAAUCAAAAGCCGUUAACUAGCAAUCACUAGGAGUUUCAGUACUGUGUAACCAAUCGUUAACAAAUAAAUUAAUUCGUUGCACACCAUGGAUAUCGGCGAACAUAUGGAAAGCUAUAAAAUAUUAUGGGAUUAUUUGAAAACCGAAUAUCCGGAGCUUUGUCAAGUAAUCUUGUAUACGUUAAAAGACGUUUUUGAAUCCGGAAUAAUCCCGGAAGGUACAACGGUAUUAGAAUCAUUACGUACGAUAGUUAGUGCGAAACGACUUUCAAUCAGUAACAGUCAACGUCGUCAAAAGAAAAAAUUGACCGAAGAAAAAUAUACACAAACUGAAGAAUAUCCUCAAGGUCGUAUUGUUCACGUUAAAUCGACACUCUCUUGUCUUCAUCGCUCUGAUUCUUCGGCCAAUGCACGUUAUAUUUGUCCGCGGUGUGCAAAAAUUUGGUCGAAGAGACGUUUGUAAUUUUAUUAAAAAAAAAACAAAAAAAGAACAAAAGGAUUAAAUGAAGGAGAGAAUACACAAAGGAAUUAUUAAAUGAAGAAUUUUUUUAUAAAUAUAUUUUAUCGAUUCUUAUCUCUCUAACGUUUAUCUGCGUUAUGUGGAAUGUUCAAACUUAAUCCAGACUUUCUUCAUUUACCGAACUUUCGAUUAUCACUUUGCGCGGAAGAACAACGUCGUGGAUAAUUUAAGCGGUAGUCCUUCUUCCUCCUUCUGUAUUCUCUCGAUUAGUUUUCUUAAGUGUACUUUAAUGCCACUUUCGAGAAGAUUAAUGAGUCGCUGACGCGAUAUAACCACCGAGAGAAAGUGUACAAGGGUAAACUUCGUAAAGCGAAGCGAACGAAAAGUAUAUGAUUUUCCAUUACCCUUUUAUCGCGUCACGAAAAUAACAAAGACUGAAUUGAUAUCCAUCGUUAGAAUAGUUAACAACGAAAUCUUCUAAUUAAUAUAAUACAAUAUAUGGCGAUAAUAAA